GUUCUCAUACAAUCAAUGAAGUUAAGCAAUGUUGAGCCUGAUCAGUACCUAGAUGGGUGACCCCCUGGGAAUACCAGGUGCUGUAA